rnacentral:lncRNA from 1 species
CCAUGCCUUCAUCAGAUAUCACACCCCCUUCAUAUCUUUCUCGCAGUGAAACAUCCUUUCUCAUGGUGAAAAGCAAACCUAUUUUGUUGCACAAAAUAGAUUUCCUUAGUGUGGCAUCCAAAGAAGUUAGGAUGAGGUGGAAACCUUAUCAAAUAAAGAAUCAAAUCAAAUUUCAAACCUACCUAACUUCUUUGGCAUUGAGAAAGCAUCA